rnacentral:rRNA from 1 species
UGGGGAAUAUUGGACAAUGGGCGCAAGCCUGAUCCAGCCAUGCCGCGUGUGUGAAGAAGGCCUUCGGGUUGUAAAGCACUUUUGUCCGGGAAGAAAACCCUGGGGCUAAUACCCACGGGGAAUGACGGUACCGGAAGAAUAAGCACCGGCUAACUUCGUGCCAGCAGCCGCGGUAAUACGAAGGGUGCAAGCGUUACUCGGAAUUACUGGGCGUAAAGCGUGCGUAGGCGGUUUGUUAAGUCAGAUGUGAAAGCCCCGGGCUCAACCUGGGAACUGCAUUUGAUACUGGCGAGCUAGAGUACGGUAGAGGGUGGUGGAAUUCCCGGUGUAGCGGUGAAAUGCGUAGAGAUCGGGAGGAACAUCUGUGGCGAAGGCGGCCACCUGGACCAGUACUGACGCUGA